AACGGAGCACCCCUGAAGGAGUUUUCGGACAACGGAAGGGAAUGCUUAGUGGCGGACUGGUGAGUAACGCGUGAGGAACCUGCCUUUCGGAGGGGGACAACAGUUGGAAACGACUGCUAAUACCGCAUGAUACAUUUGGGUCGCAUGGUCUGAAUGUCAAAGAUUUAUCGCCGAAAGAUGGCCUCGCGUCUGAUUAGCUAGUUGGUGGGGUAACGGCCCACCAAGGCGACGAUCAGUAGCCGGACUGAGAGGUUGGCCGGCCACAUUGGGACUGAGAUACGGCCCAGACUCCUACGGGAGGCAGCAGUGGGGAAUAUUGGGCAAUGGACGCAAGUCUGACCCAGCAACGCCGCGUGAAGGAAGAAGGCUUUCGGGUUGUAAACUUCUUUUAAGGGGGAAGAGCAGAAGACGGUACCCCUUGAAUAAGCCACGGCUAACUACGUGCCAGCAGCCGCGGUAAUACGUAGGUGGCAAGCGUUGUCCGGAUUUACUGGGUGUAAAGGGCGUGCAGCCGGAGAGACAAGUCAGAUGAGAAAUCCACGGGCUCAACCCGUGAACUGCAUUUGAAACUGUUUCCCUUGAGUGUCGGAGAGGUAAUCGGAAUUCCACGCGAAGCGGGAGAAAAGCGCAGAUCUUGGAGAGAACACCAGAGGNGAAGGCGGAGANNNGGANGANAACNGACGGNGAGGCGCGAAAGCGGGGGGAGCCUUUCUAUGUGAGANACNNNGGNAGUNCAAGAAAGGAAAGGACACGCUGACUGUUGGGCGGGGACUGACCCCCUGCGUGCCGGAGUUAACACAAUAAGUAUCGCACCUGGGGAGUACGAUCGCAAGGUUGAAACUCAAAGGAAUUGACGGGGGCCCGCACAAGCGGUGGAUUAUGUGGUUUAAUUCGAAGCAACGCGAAGAACCUUACCAGGGCUUGACAUCCUGCUAACGAAGUAGAGAUACAUUAGGUGCCCUUCGGGGAAAGCAGAGACAGGUGGUGCAUGGUUGUCGUCAGCUCGUGUCGUGAGAUGUUGGGUUAAGUCCCGCAACGAGCGCAACCCCUAUUGUUAGUUGCUACGCAAGAGCACUCUAGCGAGACUGCCGUUGACAAAACGGAGGAAGGCGGGGACGACGUCAAAUCAUCAUGCCCCUUAUGUCCUGGGCUACACACGUAAUACAAUGGCGGUUAACAAAGGGAUGCAAAGCCGCGAGGCAGAGCGAACCCCAAAAAGCCGUCCCAGUUCGGAUCGCAGGCUGCAACCCGCCUGCGUGAAGUCGGAAUCGCUAGUAAUCGC
rnacentral:rRNA from 1 species